GCCUGAGGGACAGUUGGGGCUUUUAACCCACUGCAGGAGUCCAGCCGGGCUGGGGGAGCGGGGUCAUGGCGCUCUCUCUGCAAUGAGUACGAGUUGGGACUGAGGGCACCUGGGUGUGCGGUACAGAGCGCUGUAGUGGGGAGAUCCAGGCCGGGUUUUGACUCCUCCGGCGGAGGGAGAAAGCGAGAAGCUAGAAUGCUGGGCGAGCAGAAGAGUGCGUACUAUAGCAGCGGUGAAGCAGAUGCAAGCUCGACUUGGGGUUUCUCCCACCAGCCCCAGCCUCAAAACACACCUCCCUGGAAUGGAGAACAAGUAAGGCAUCUGUACUUGGGCAGAGAGACAGAGGCCCAAGUAUGUCUUGGGAAGAGGAGAAGAGACAUACAGACAACCAGAAAGGGGCUUGGUGACAUCAGGGCACAGCAGCAUCACAGGAACGUGGAAAGAGGACCAGCAAAGAGACAGAGGAGACAUCCCCACUGGGGGACAGCCAAGCCAGCUGAGCAGGAAGAGGCAAGAGGCACAGCCAGAGGUGAGGCCCUUGGAGGAUUUGUGGCAGCCACUCACCAGUCCGCCCUGCUCCUGGGGCACCAAGGCCAGCACAGCCAGAACAGUGAUAGGCACAGCCAGCAGGAGGGUCACCAGGGAAGCGGCUCCUGCGACAGCCAGGAGGAGGCAUCCCUUCCCCUGGGGCCGCCUACCCCGGCACUCCAGCCCCAGCGCCCCCAUUGAGACUGAGCCAGGGCCAGGGCAGGGGGGCUUUCAUACCUCAGGGGUGGGGCCACCCCCUCCCUGUAGACCCACACACCUGGCUGGGACUUUCCGAACACCCCUGCUCCCCUCACCCUGCUUCCUGUUUACCCAGAGCUAGGGUGGGGCAGCUGGAUGCCUGGGUUCUCUGAACUGGGGAGGGAGCUGGGGUGAAGAGACAGGCAUUCAGGGUAGAGCUGGAGGGGGCCUUAGAGAUCUUCUGACUCAGUGGGAAGGGAAACUGAGGCCCAGAGAGGGAAGCUAGCUUGCAGAAAGUCAGGCAGCUGCAAUGAGAACACAGAACUCCAGAUUGCUAGUGUGGUCUGCAUUAUUCUUCUUUUUUUUUAAUUAAUUAAGUGAUUGAUUGAUUGAUUUUGGCUGCGCUGGGUCUUCUUUGCUGCACAGGCUUUCUCUAGUUGCGGCGAGCAGGGGCUACUCUUCGUUGCGGUGCACGGGCUUCUCAUUGCAGUGGCUUCUCUUGUUGCGGAGAACGGGAAAUGGGCACGCAGGCUUCAGUAGUUGUGGUACGCAGGCUCGCAGGCUCUAGAGCGCAGGCUCAGUAGUUGUGGCACACAGGCUUAGCUGCUCUGCAGCAUGUGGGAUCUUCCCGGACCAGGCAUUGAACCCGUGUCCCCUGCAUUGGCAGGUGGAUUCUUAACCACUGUGCCACCAGGGAAGUCCCUGGUCUGCAUUCUUCUGCACCCCAGAGGUGGGUGCUGGAGGGAGGGCUGCAUCCAUAUCCCUGAGGUCAAGGGCUGGAAUAGGAGGACCAGAACUGGAAUCUUCAGGGAUGGAUGUCUAGGUUCCAAAGAAGAACCUGUCCCCACACUGGACUGACUUCCUCCUCCCAUUCCCUUGCGCCCUCCAAGCCCCCAGAGCUAGGUGAGAAAGGCAGAGUUAAGCCAGUCCACGGUGAUGGCAGCUGAAGGGGGCCUCAGCCUCACCACUGACUAUUAACUCACUGAGGAGGGAUGGAAAUAGAGCAUUACCUCCCUUGCUACACAGAGUGUAGACAGGAGAGCAAUGAGGCAUCCACCCCCAAAGAGCUUCACAGUCUAGAAUGGCUCCAUCCAUUUAGUAGAUGCUGACUAAGUGUUAAGUGAAGAAAGGAAAAAAGGAUGAAUGAGUAAGCAAAACAAAGCAGUAAGGACCAAAUGAAUGGUGUAGUCGGCAGAGCAGUAGGAGUUGAAGGGAGGAAAAACCAGGUCAAGAAAGUUGGAGGUGGUCCCAGAUCAUUUCCCCUUCUUGAUAUCUCCGUGUGUUCAGGUAAUAAUAAUAACAACAUAGCUAAUAUCCAGAUAGCAUUUGGUAUGUGCCUGCCACUAACCUACACACUUUAUAUAUAAUAAUGCUCUUUCUUUCUUCCUUCCUUUUUCUUUCUUUCCUUCCUUCCUUCCUUCUUUCUUUCUUUCUUUCUUUUUCUUUCUUUCUCUCUUUCUUUCUUUCUUUCUUCCUUCCUUCCUUCCUUCCUUCCUUCCUUUCUUUUUGGCCACACGGCGUGGCAUGCGGGAUCUUAGUUCCCCAACCAGGGAUCAAACCCGUGCCCCCUGCAGUGGAAGCGUGGAUUCUUAACCACUGGACCUCCAGGGAAGUCCUAUAAUAAUGCUUUUAAUCCUGAUAAAAACUCUUAAGAGGGGAGCUUCCCUGAUGACGCAGUGGUUAAGAAUCACGGGCUCUGAGACAAGAGAAGCCACCGCAUUGAGAAGCCAGUGCACCGCAAUGAAGAGUAGCCCCCACUCGCCGCAACCAGAGAAAGCCCGUGCACAGCAAAGGAGACCCAACGCAGCCAAAAAUAAAUAAAUAAAAUAAAUAAAUUUAUUUCAAAAAACCCCAAAAAACUCUAAGAGGAAACUGAGGCACAGAAAAGUUAAAGAACUUGUGGAAGGUCACACAGUAGUAGCAGAGACAGGAUUUGAACCCAGGCAGUCUGGCUCCAUACCGUUAACCACAAGACAGUUUAAAAACUGAGUACUGACUUCAGAUUUGUCCAUUUGAGGGUAUGUAAAUCUUACCUUCCUCACUCCCCCCAAAAAAGAAUAGGGAAACAAAUACUGAACUUGAGUCAAUGAUAAGCAUGGUAAAGGGUUUAGAGGUAAAAUGUACUGAUGUUUGCAACUUUGAAAGGUAUCAAAAAAUGAGAUGGAUUGAUAGAUAUGUGAUAAAGCAAAUAUAUAGAAGAAUAUUAAUUGUAGAAUCUAGGUGGUAGGGAUAGGUUCACUGUACAAUCCUUUCAAUUUUUUUCUAUGUUUGAAUGUUUUAAUAAUAAAACAUUUUGAAACAAUA